UACGAAGGGGGCUAGCGUUGUUCGGAAUUACUGGGCGUAAAGCGCGUGUAGGCUGCUUCGCAAGUCGGAUGUGAAAGCCCUGGGCUCAACCCAGGAAGUGCAUUCGAAACUGCAGAGCUGGAGUCCUGGAGAGGAAGGCGGAAUUCUCGGUGUAGAGGUGAAAUUCGUAGAUAUCGAGAGGAACACCGGUGGCGAAGGCGGCCUUCUGGACAGUGGACUGACGCUGAGACGCGAAAGCGUGGGGAGCAAACAGG
rnacentral:rRNA from 1 species